rnacentral:pre_miRNA from 1 species
AGGCAGUGUAGUUAGCUGAUUGGUAACCGUUAACUAGCAAUCACUAACCACACAGCCAGG